rnacentral:rRNA from 1 species
ACUUAAAUUGAAGAGUUUGAUCAUGGCUCAGAUUGAACGCUGGCGGCAGGCCUAACACAUGCAAGUCGAGCGGUAGCACAGAGAGCUUGCUCUCGGGUGACGAGCGGCGGACGGGUGAGUAAUGUCUGGGAAACUGCCUGAUGGAGGGGGAUAACUACUGGAAACGGUAGCUAAUACCGCAUAAUGUCGCAAGACCAAAGUGGGGGACCUUCGGGCCUCAUGCCAUCAGAUGUGCCCAGAUGGGAUUAGCUAGUAGGUGGGGUAACGGCUCACCUAGGCGACGAUCCCUAGCUGGUCUGAGAGGAUGACCAGCCACACUGGAACUGAGACACGGUCCAGACUCCUACGGGAGGCAGCAGUGGGGAAUAUUGCACAAUGGGCGCAAGCCUGAUGCAGCCAUGCCGCGUGUGUGAAGAAGGCCUUCGGGUUGUAAAGCACUUUCAGCGGGGAGGAAGGCGAUAAGGUUAAUAACCUCAUCGAUUGACGUUACCCGCAGAAGAAGCACCGGCUAACUCCGUGCCAGCAGCCGCGGUAAUACGGAGGGUGCAAGCGUUAAUCGGAAUUACUGGGCGUAAAGCGCACGCAGGCGGUCUGUCAAGUCGGAUGUGAAAUCCCCGGGCUCAACCUGGGAACUGCAUUCGAAACUGGCAGGCUAGAGUCUUGUAGAGGGGGGUAGAAUUCCAGGUGUAGCGGUGAAAUGCGUAGAGAUCUGGAGGAAUACCGGUGGCGAAGGCGGCCCCCUGGACAAAGACUGACGCUCAGGUGCGAAAGCGUGGGGAGCAAACAGGAUUAGAUACCCUGGUAGUCCACGCCGUAAACGAUGUCGAUUUGGAGGUUGUGCCCUUGAGGCGUGGCUUCCGGAGCUAACGCGUUAAAUCGACCGCCUGGGGAGUACGGCCGCAAGGUUAAAACUCAAAUGAAUUGACGGGGGCCCGCACAAGCGGUGGAGCAUGUGGUUUAAUUCGAUGCAACGCGAAGAACCUUACCUGGUCUUGACAUCCACAGAACUUAGCAGAGAUGCUUUGGUGCCUUCGGGAACUGUGAGACAGGUGCUGCAUGGCUGUCGUCAGCUCGUGUUGUGAAAUGUUGGGUUAAGUCCCGCAACGAGCGCAACCCUUAUCCUUUGUUGCCAGCGGUUCGGCCGGGAACUCAAAGGAGACUGCCAGUGAUAAACUGGAGGAAGGUGGGGAUGACGUCAAGUCAUCAUGGCCCUUACGACCAGGGCUACACACGUGCUACAAUGGCAUAUACAAAGAGAAGCGACCUCGCGAGAGCAAGCGGACCUCAUAAAGUAUGUCGUAGUCCGGAUUGGAGUCUGCAACUCGACUCCAUGAAGUCGGAAUCGCUAGUAAUCGUAGAUCAGAAUGCUACGGUGAAUACGUUCCCGGGCCUUGUACACACCGCCCGUCACACCAUGGGAGUGGGUUGCAAAAGAAGUAGGUAGCUUAACCUUCGGGAGGGCGCUUACCACUUUGUGAUUCAUGACUGGGGUGAAGUCGUAACAAGGUAACCGUAGGGGAACCUGCGGUUGGAUCACCUCCUUACCUUAAAGAA